UCAACAGAUUUGACCGUAUCGCUUGCAAAAUCUAAGGCCCUGCAGUGUCUACAGCCAGAAGUUGAAGAUCUUAGCUUAAAAAAAAACUUAGGAAGACGAUUAAGAACACUGGUUCUGUUCUAGGGACUGCUCUGCAGCCUUUAGAGCGGUUUCUACAAAGAAAGAUGCUUUAUAAUUGGCGUCUGGCAAUGAGCUUUGUCAGUACUGGAGAGUGAGUUCUGUCUCUUCUGGAAACACUAAAGAGCUCCUGGUACUUUCUGCUUCUAGCUGUAACCUCUGUGUUCUCCAAUGUAAAGUCUAACUUGAGUUUGGUCUCUCAGUAAAGCUUUAUUCAACAGUUUGGCAAUUCUGUUCAAUCGUGACAGGAACUGUUGACAUUGUGCAUCUGCUGAUGGUGGAAACUGAAAUGUAGAGGAAUUCCGCGAGGUGUUUCUCUGCAAUUUCAAUGGUGCCAUGAACUUUGAGUGUUAAAGAAAAGGAGACCCCCCACUCCGCAAUCAAUAUGCUGCUACCGUUGGCUGUUUUAGUGCUAGCGGUACUGGUGCACUGAAACUUGGGUGUGCUUCUGGAAGGGCUUUCCCAAAACUCUGACCUUAACUCUGCUGGAAAUGUAUUGUUAAAAAGAACUAUAAAAACCAAACAGUGAAAGCCCUUAAAUAGCAUGACAUUUCCUGCAGACAAUGAGUGGAUGGAAACUUCUCGAACUGGGUGUUCAUUGGCCAAUCUAAAUGCAGAGUGAAGAGAUCUGGAGUCAGAGAAACACCUGGAAGACGUUCAGCUGAAAUGAGGACAGCUGCUCUAAUCGGUUCCCCAGGAAGCUCGUUAUCAUUCUCCAAUAGGGUGGAGCUACAGAACAGAGCGACUCCCACAGGAAGUGAAGCACCGCUCAGAGUAAACAGCCACAGCGACUCCAGCACCAAAGCCUGAACCGUCUUCGGCAUCGUAUCAACGCCUCGCCUCUCCUUCUCUCUUUCAACAAACAACGAAGACUCCCAGACCUUCUGAUGGAGUAUAAGAGAAUUAUUAACACUGGAUGGAGCGCCGGGAGAUGGAGGCCGCCGACGACGACGAGGACAUAGUCGGCGAGUUGGAGGAGUGGUUGGACGCAUGCGAGGACGACAGGGUGGAGCAGGAAGAGGAGGUUUGGGUGCCGUCCAGAGGCCUGGACAGCAGCAGGGAGGACGGCAUGCACAGCCAUGUCUCCAGGUCCGAGUACUUGGAAUAACUCAGCAUCUCCAGGACGCUGCAGGAGGACACAGGCAGACCAUCACAGGGUCUUGUUUUAACGCCCCACUUCCACCCCGUUCACAGCUCUUACCUCUCCUCUCCCACUCCUGGGAUUUCAUCCGUCUCGUCCGCAGUCUGGAAGAUGCAGGAGGUCCUGGAUUCUCGGGACGACAGCAGAACACAGGAGUUCUCAGAAUCCACAGACAUCUUCAGCCAUUUCUGUGGGGG